rnacentral:lncRNA from 1 species
UUUUAAAAUUUGAGCUUAAAAAAUUUCGACAGUGUCGAUUUUGGGGACUUUUUACUGAUGUGGAAAAUAACUGUUUGUAAUUUUGACAGUCGUAUAGAGAAAAACUGAAUAGCUCUAUUCGAUAGCUCAAUAGCUCGAUAACUAACUCUAGGGCGCUUCGCGCUCGCUUUAUGUAGCUGUUGGCAACGCUCGAAUCUUCUGUGAAUUUCGGAACAUGCUCCAUUCCAAACCCGUCACGGGCUGUCUCGAACCUUCGAUCCUCUUCUCACUGGCAGCGUUGCCGCUGCCGCUUUUUUGCGCGCUCACCGCAACUCUACGUUGAUACUGACUCGAGUUUCUUUAUGUUAAAGGCACAUUGAGCAGUUCGUCAACAAGGCCGAUGUCAUCGAGCAGCCGAGGACAAAGCCACCAAUCGCAACGUGCCACGUCAUCGUCGAAGGACUCGGGAGUGACGCAACAUCGCAUUUCAACAGCCAACAUCAAGAGGUGUCACCGAUCUGAACCCUCAACUAGACACUAGAGGCUUCUGAAUCAAAGCAGGGAAACUGUGAUGAUUGUGAAAAAAGUACAACGAUCUUGGAAAAAGGAGCACGUGGAGAGUGCACUUUUGUGCGCACAGUUGCGGUAAUUGGUGCGUUCCUUUGUUGUUGAAAUGAUUAGCCUGUAAGUUCCUAAACUCUAGCCCGUAUGUACCUACUGUUAAGAAUUAAUAUAAUUAGCGGACGACUUCGGCAAGGGAAUGUAUUAUCGAACUGCGAAAAUUCCCUUGAGGCUAAUAAACACUCCACCAGAGUGGUGAUGAUGAAGCAAAUCAUUUAAUGAGUAAUCCGAAUGCUUUCUUAAUGCUUUAAACACAUUUUUGUAUUUAAUUUAUUGUUUAACCGUUUUCUCAACUUAAUUGUGAUUAUAUACUGCUUUAUUGGUCAUGUGAUGUUUAUCUAUUAAAGAGUAAUUAUUUGAA